rnacentral:lncRNA from 10 species
CUGACUGUGAGGGAGCUAUGGAUGUAUGCUUCUGCGUCAGAAAACCGAGGCCCUGAGCAGCUGAGUAACCCACUCAGAGGGAGAAGAAAUUGAGGUGCAGAGAGGCUAAGCCAUUGGCUAACUAGCAGAUGGCGAUGCUUGGAAAUGAACCAAGUCUGAAUCCAGGGUUCCCGUGUGUAAUCUCUGCAUUGAGCGGCAAUUAGUGAAUGAAUGAAUAAACAGAAUGAAGUUAAAC